CAGUCGUGAGGAAGGUGGUAGUGUUAAUAGCACUAUCAUUUGACGUUAGCGACAGAAGAAAGCACCGGCUAACUCCGUGCCAGCAGCCGCGGUAAUACGGAGGGUGCGAGCGUUAAUCGGAAUUACUGGGCGUAAAGCGCAUGCAGGUGGUUUGUUAAGUCAGAUGUGAAAGACCCGGGGCGUCAACCUCGGAAUAGCAUUUGUAAACUAGGCAGACUAGAGUACUGUAGAGGGGGGUAGGAAUUUCAGGUGUAGCGGUGAAAUAGCGUAGAGAUCUGAAGGAAUACCGGUGGCGAAGGCGGCCCCCUCGGACAGAUACUGACACUCAGAUGCGAAAGCGUGGGGAGCAAACAGGAUUAGAUACCCUGGUAG
rnacentral:rRNA from 1 species